CGCGUAGGCGGUCUUAUCGGUCAGAUGUGAAAGCCCGGGGCUCAACCCCGGACGUGCAUUUGAAACAGUAAGACUUGAGUACGGGAGAGGAAAGCGGAAUUCCUGGUGUAGAGGUGAAAUUCGUAGAUAUCAGGAGGAACACCGAUGGCGAAGGCAGCUUUCUGGACCGAUACUGACGCUGAGGCGCGAAGGCGUGGGUAGCGAACG
rnacentral:rRNA from 1 species